AAGCUAUUGAAAGGUUAUGUCCACUACUCAGCAUCCCACUCCAAUAUAGGUAGGUAAAAUCAGUUCAUACCUUCCCCAUGUCCAUUAUUCUCACCAUCACAGAAACCUAGAGGAAAAGGAAAAAGAAAACACUUUCAUGUGGUACUUUCAUUUUCAUGAAUUUAUGAAUCAGUAACUCUUUAUGAUUUGAAAUAGAAUUUUGAAAAUUCUAAGGCACUUUUGAUACACUGAUUUUCAUUUAAGGUGCUUUAUCAUUUAUACUAAAAAUAGGUAUAGCUAAUUUGAAACUAAAUUUGGUUCCUUUUUCUUUUCCUUUAAAAUUGUCGGUCUGAAAUUUUCUUACUGUCACUGUCGUGAGAGGAGAACAAUUUUUACAAAGCCUGAGCAUCUCUAUUCAAACCACAAAGUAAAGAAGUAUAGAUGGAAAUUCUCUUCCAAAUGCUUCAUCAUGGGGGUAAGAGCAGCACGGCGGGCUUCCCCAACGGCCACGUGAGGUGUGAUGCCCCCACCGCUGAGCACAGGCGCAGACAACCCAGCUGCCUUGGAGGGAUUUAUAAAAGGAAACAACCCACGUACCUGUUAAGUGCAGAUGUCAGCCUGAACCCAGGAUGCUUUUCGUCUUUCCAAGGAGGCUGCUGCCUUUAAAAACCAGAACAACAUAAAAGGAAAAGAAGUCAAUCCACAGACAGCAAAGGAGGGCCUCAGCACUUGCAUUUGAGAACUGGCUCUUCUACUCACCUCGCUCUGCAAGAGUCACUUAAAAAUACCCCACACCUCGCUCAUUUUGCUUAUCAAUAUU
rnacentral:antisense_RNA from 1 species